UGCAAUCACACAAGAAUCAUAAGAUGAAGAUCAGUGUCCCAAAUUCUACCACUUGGUAAUAAACCUUCCUCAUUUUUUUCUUUCUACCUUCAUUCCCCUCUUCCCUCUCUAGCUCCUGUUCUUGUUUAGAGUCAGAAUAACUCCUCCUAUGUACCAACUAGCUAGUGGCAUCAUAAAAAGGUGCAUGCUGAGCAAGAUGGAGAAGCAGGGCACGUGCAAUUCUAACUCAUGAACGCACCUUGAAUGAAACCAACCCAGAGAAUCACAUGCUUUAUUUUUUCUGCUUUUCACCAACCAGAUAGAUAGUGAGUUAGUCCUUCAUGUGCCCCUCUUCCCCAUCAUGACGGCAGCACCUUAAAUAGCAUUUGGAAAAUGGGAUUUUGAUUUUGUGAUCGAUGCUCCACUUUCAAGAUUGCUAGCUGUGCUGAUUUUCACGGGGAGAUCACCGUGAUACCGACCAAGCCUUUGAACAAGACAAAAUGAGAAUGAGAAAGUAUGUUGUUUCUUUUGUACUAUAUGGGGAUUACGAAUGAUCUAUUACCAUACGAAUCCCACGAAAAGACAUGGGACAUUAUUUCAUUGAACAAAAGCUAAACAAAAAUAUAUAAAAAGAAUCUGUGUUUCGACGGAAAUCAUGGGUACCCAUGUAUUUACGUUUGUACGAAUCCGUAAUGAGAAGCAUUUCCCAUACAUAUACGAACAGAUAGAAAUAAAAGAUACUAUUUUCUACUUUAUUCUACCCAUUUCUUUAACGUUACGCGCAUUAAGUUUAGCCGUUGGAUGAUAUUUUUACUCAUAAAUUUUCUCCACAAAAUUAAGUUCUAGGUGUUCAACUACUCAAAAAAAAAAAAAAAAAAACAACAACAAAAAA